UCCGGUUUAACACCGGCGGUCUCCAUAGAGUGCCCAACUAAAUGAUGGCAACUAGGGAUAAGGGUUGCGCUCGUUAAGGGACUUAACCCGACAUCUCACGAUACGAGCUGACGACAGCCAUGCAGCACCUGUCUCCCGGCCUCCGAAGAGGAAACCCUAUCUCUAGGGCUAUCCGGGGAUGUCAAACCCAGGUAAGGUUCUUCGCGUUGCAUCGAAUUAAACCACAUGCUCCACCGCUUGUGCGGGCCCCCGUCAAUUCCUUUGAGUUUUAACCUUGCGGCCGUACUUCCCAGGCGGGGUACUUAAUGCGUUAGCUGCGGCACUGCAGGGGUCAAUUCCUGCAACACCUAGUACCCAUCGUUUACAGCGUGGACUAC
rnacentral:misc_RNA from 1 species